GAUAACCUUCCUGGUAAACAAGACGGGAAUGAAUAUUUUAGAGUAAAAGGUAAAGUAAUUUAUUAGAUUUUGGUCUAUUUUUUCUAUAUUAAUUCUUCCUGGAUUACGUUUUCCAUUUCACUGAAUAAUAGUCUGGUCUAAGGAUGUUAACUGUCUUAAAGAGUGUUAUUUCAACUUUCGUUCUGAGCCGGCUAUGGCAUAUUUAAAUAUUAUAUAUAUGUAUAUGAUAAUAAGGUUGAGUCCCAGUUCCACUUAUUAUUUUCAUUUAUGAUGGCUUUGUCAUAUACAAGAAUCUUUUAAACUAUACUUGUUGUAAUCAUGCACUCAGUUAACAAACUGUUUUGGUGUAUGUAUGAACAAUUGAACGUUGAUUAACUUAUUAAAAUGUUUAGCUGAUUUUACAGAGUUAUCUCCCUGUAGUGUUUUGUACCUUCUUUAAUACAAAAACAAAGUAAGAGUAACCAUUUAGCAUAGCCUUUCUCCAAAAAAAAAAAAAAAAAGGAUUUGUUUAAUUAAAUCAAGAACAGUAACUCUCUAUUUUAAUUGUAAAAUGUGUUCAAAUAAAAGUGAUAGCUUUUCUAAAAAACUAGCCGUCUCAUAGAUGAUGGAAUAAGAAAAUUAUUUCGUAUGGUAAUUUAAGUCGUGCAGAAUGUAAAGUGAAUUACAAAAUCUAAAAGUCUUAAAUACAAACUUAGAGAGAUUUACUGAUAAUUUUUUUCUAUUAUAUGUACAUGUACAAAAACCAGGUAAAGGGGAGAUGGGUAUAUAAUUAUUCAAUUAUUUGCGUUUGUAUUUUUGUUAUCAAUUAGUUUACUUAUUUUCAGAUACGUAAUUCAUUUACUUCUUGCUAUAUUUGUUGUUUAUUUCUGUGUAUGAAAAAAGUACAUUCACUUCCGUUUGUAAAUGUUUUAUUCAUAGUAGGUCUAGAAAAGUGUAGAAAGAGUGAAAUGUUUAAAAUUUGAUCAUUCAAAGAACAAAAAAAAAAAAAACGGAUUUCAAACAUCAUAUCAAAAUGAUCCGUAAAACUUAUAUACAAAAAUCUUGUAUGUGUCUUGUGUUUUAUGCAUGAUUAAAACAGAUAAUUUUGCUUUUUGUUGUUCAAAACUAAGUGAAAAAAAGUGAUGAGAUCUAGGCAAAAAUUCUCGUUUCUUAUGCAUGACCUUAUAAAGUAAAUUAACUGGUCCCAGGUCACGAUAGACCCUGAAAAUCAACUCUAUUUUCAAGAAUAUAUGAACAAAUAUUCCUAUUAUAUCUAGAAAAAAAAUAUCCAACUAGGUAACACAUGUACAUCAAAAGACUUUCAUGACGUGGCAAUCCGCUAUCUUUAGUCAAGUUGUCUCUACUUCUCCCCGAUUACAAGUCGGAAUCUGCAGUUGAAUGUAAUGCAUCUUAAGCAAACAGGAUGCCACUCUUUUGGCAAAAGUAAAAGUCCAUGAAAACUGGAUUGGUAUUAACAAAAUAAAAUCAGCGAAAGGCGAAAAUACAAUUAUGUCUCCCCAAUUUUAUAUUGACUACUCUUCACCUUAGUUUACUGGACGUAAGUUCAUUCCAUUUUACUACUAGUAUUAUAUGUUAAAAUCAAUUAACUUUAUAAAUGGACCAAGGUAGUUUGAACUACAGAUAAAAAUAUAUUUAAACAUCAAAUGCUGCAUGAAAAAUAAAAGAUUGAGCUAAAUAAUGAAACUUUGCAUGCCUAUGAUAUGUAAAAUAAAGAAAUUGAAAAAAAACUCAUCAGCUGAGGCUAUAUAACACCAAAUAAACAAAUAGAUACUAAAGGUUUGCUAGCUCCGGUAAAUAAGACAUUUUUUUAAAUACAAAAUUGGCAAACAAAAAAGAGGUAUAUCACAGUUAUAUUAUUUUUACUUACAGCCAUCUAAAAGCGAAAAAAAAUCAUUAUUGUGAAUAUGAAUGAAAUGAUUUAGAAAAUUAAAUAAAUUGAUCUAUUUGUCCGAUUGAACUGUGACAUGCAUUAAGUUUAGUCUUUUAAUACAUUUAUAAUUACAUUUAUUUGUCUAGUUAAUGAACAAAGAGGGGCAAAAGAUACCAAAGGGACAGUCAAACUCAUAGAUUGAAAAUAAACUGACAACGCCAUGGCUAAAAAUUAAAAGACAAACAGACAAAUAUUAGUACAGAAGACACAACAUAUCUAUAGAAAACUAACGAGUAAGCAACACGAAACCCAACCAAAAAUCAGGGGUGAUCUCAGGUGCUCCGGAAGGGUAAGCAUAUCCUGCUUCGACAUGUGGCUCCCGUCAUGUUCUUAUGUUAUUACAAAUCAAGUAAAUAGUCUAAUUUGGUAGGUCACAUUCGUGAAAAGGGAAGGGUAUUGUAGUUACGGCAUAAGGAACAAUAAAUUAUAAAUCAACAUUAUUUAACUUUUAAAUUACUAAAAUCUGAACUCUUAUUCUUUUUAUUUAGUACUCGGUUGGUAAAAUGUUUGCCCGAAAACCCAAAUCCUGUAUAUUGACAGGUUGACUUAUGAGUCCGUCUACGAUAAUCCUGCUCGAAAUAUUUAUGACCGCAAUGUCAGAUGGUCGAUGGAAAUAAGUGGCUCUUCGGUAUUGCGAUAAACAACUGUGUGUUUCAAACAAAUACUCGUCGUACGUUUUAAAAACCUUAAGAUAGUAAGCUUGAUAUUUAAACUUAUUUAAAACUAUGUUAUUCAGGUAUAUAUUUUAAUUUUCCACUGUCGCUAAAAAAAAGUUAAAACGACCGAUUUAUAUCAGUUUAUUAAAAGACAACAGUAGCUAUAGUAUACCGCUGUUCUAAAGUCAUCAAUCGAAUCAGAGAAACAAAUCCGGUUUAUAAAACUAAAACCGAGAGGAAAACAUCAAAUAGAAGAGGAAAAAACAUCGAAACAACAGAAACACUGACGUGCAACAAAAAACAAAAGACAAUACAACAUACAUAGAAACAACCUAUAAGAUAACAACUGCCAUUUUCUGCACAAGCUGCAACUAAUAUGAUAUAUUUUUAUUUCUGGAAAUGAAAUACUUGUGUUAAUGAGAUAAAUAAGAUUGAUGUCAAUUUAGGAAUAUUAGAUAUUUAAAAUGAAGCCAUCGAUGAUGUGAUUGGUGGGAUAUUGUUGUCUUAAACAUGUUUUAAACUUUAUAAACAACUAUUGUUAUGACUUAUGACUUAUCAUUAAUGAUUGCAUUUUUUUUGUAGUUUAUGUUAAAUGGCGACAUCCUCUCAAAGUUGUGGAGUUUGUGACCUCCGUCACAUCACAAAACCAUCCAUAGUCUGGUGUACAGAAUGUGACGAGGGACUCUGUACAGAAUGCCAGGAACAUCAUGGUCUGUCUAAAGCAUCCAGAAGACAUAAAGUGAUUCCUAUUAUUGAAUACCAGAAAUUACCACCCGAUGUUCUUAAAAUUACUCAGUAUUGUAGCAAACACGAUGAAAAGUUUCAAAUUUAUUGCAAGAAGCAUGAAUGUCCCUGCUGCAGCAAGUGCAUAGUGGAAAGCCAUUCAGAAUGUCGGGAUAUCGUAAAUUUAGAUGACGUCAUUCAUAAUGUCAAAACCUCCAAUGCCUUGUGCGAGAUAGAGGAAACAUUAGUUGAAGUUGCAGAAAAUCUACAAAAAGUUCGUCAGCAUAUACAAGACAAUCGAUCGAAUUUGAGAGAUAAGAGAAUGGAAAUAGAAAAAGAAAUAAAGAAGACCCGAAUAAUGAUCAACCACCAUCUCGACAAACUACAAGAAGAUUUUCUGAAAAAACUCUUUGAGGUCGAAGAAAAAAAUAACUCGAAAAUUUGUCAAUUAGUUUCAUCCUUAGAGAUAAAGGAAAAAGAAAUAGCAGAAUACCAGAGAAAAUGUUUCGAAUAUCAAGCAACAUGCG
rnacentral:lncRNA from 1 species